GGCAGUUUAGCUUAAUGGUUUAAAGCAUCGCGACGCGUAAUCAAGGAUGUGUGAGUUCGAGUCUCAUAGCCGGCC
rnacentral:tRNA from 1 species